rnacentral:rRNA from 1 species
UACGUAGGGUGCGAGCGUUAAUCGGAAUUACUGGGCGUAAAGCGUGCGCAGGCGGUUCGUUGUGUCGGUGGUGAAAGCCCCGGGCUUAACCUGGGAAUGGCCAUGGAAACUGGCGAACUGGAGUGUGGCAGAGGGGGGUGGAAUUCCGCGUGUAGCAGUGAAAUGCGUAGAGAUGCGGAGGAACACCGAUGGCGAAGGCAGCCCCCUGGGUUAGCACUGACGCUCAGGCGCGAAAGCGUGGGGAGCAAACAGG